rnacentral:lncRNA from 1 species
GAGGCCCUCACCACAGCCCACCUUGCUAAUUACACCUUCAGCCUCCAAAACUGUGCGCAACGCCUCCCUUGACACCUUUAACGACAUCAGACAUUCUAUUCUCCAAAAGGAGUUCACCUGGCAUUCUUGAUGAACCCUCAGUACCAGGGAUUGAACUCAGGACCUACCUUGUGCUUGGGAGGCAGACGUGGUGCCACUGACCUAAAUCCCCGGCCCUGGAGAAGCCUAGUUUUACAGGAAAGCAAAAAAAA